UCUCGUGCUUUUAUAAAGUGUAUUUUGUGAUAACUGAAAUGUUCCGGACGUGAAUACGAUAUUUAUUUAUGGACAGACAUUGGCGCAGAUGGACAGACCUGGCGGUGGUGAUCCGGCUGGACAUGACCAGCAAGGAUUCUCGCAGAACUGGCAGUUUCGCAGCACGAUCAAAUAUCUUAUGAUUCGCGAUAUGGCUUUCCGGGUGCCUAGGAAUCAAUGAUGAACUUGACCUUUUCCCAUGCCCGCGGUGUCAACAAAGACAUGGACGUUAUUGUGGUGGAUUCAUGCCCCAAAUCUUCCGGAUCACGAUAUGAACCGGGCACCAAGCCUUCAAAGAGCAGACUGUGUGUAAUCGUGUAAUCGUUCCAAUGUCAGCCAGCGUUUAGAACAGGCGAUACGAAACAAAGAACUAUUCAUUACAUUCAACGCAGAUAAGAAUCGCUACUUCCGCCAAGACAGUAUCGAUGUACACACCGAUGGAAACAUUUUCCCCUCACAAACGGUCGUCGGUGGUACAGAAGGUGCAGGGCGUCUACGAAGAUCAGACAAUCCAGGUGGUGCCGGUCACA